rnacentral:lncRNA from 1 species
ACGAGGAGCCCGCCUCCAGGCAGCUCCUGCUCCACCAUGUUGUUGCAGUCAUAGACCUCUGCACCAAGUGCCUUUCCCCAUGUCCCGGCAUGGCCACGCCCGCCGAAGAUGGUCACGGCAACGGAAAACUCUGAGGGGCCAAAGCACCGGAGGACCCUCUUGACAAGGUCACCAUAAGACAGAGCAGUGGCAUCCAAGCCCAUAACCUCGUAACUGGCGUAGCUGAAACCGUCCUCGGGCGUCACAUGGAUUGUGGAGAAUGCAGAGCCAUGGAUCGCAUUCAUGGAGUAGCCACAG